rnacentral:rRNA from 1 species
GUGUCGGGGGAAUCGACCCCUUCGGUGUCGUAGCUAACGCGUUAAGUGUUCCGCCUGGGGAGUACGCACGCAAGUGUGAAACUCAAAGGAAUUGACGGGGGCCCGCACAAGCGGUGGAGUAUGUGGUUUAAUUCGAUGCAACGCGAAGAACCUUACCAGGGUUUGACAUCCUGCGAACCUCUUAGAAAUUUGAGGGUGCCUUCGGGAAUGCAGUGACAGGUGGUGCAUGGCUGUCGUCAGCUCGUGUCGUGAGAUGUUGGGUUAAGUCCCGCAACGAGCGCAACCCACGUUUUUAGUUGCCAGCAUUUAGUUGGGCACUCUAGAAAGACCGCCGGUGAUAAACCGGAGGAAGGUGUGGAUGACGUCAAAUCAUCAUGCCCCUUACACCCUGGGCUACACACGUACUACAAUGCUACGGACAAAGGGCAGCAAACUCGCGAGAGCUAGCAAAUCCCAUAAACCGUGGCUCAGUUCAGAUCGUAGGCUGCAACUCGCCUACGUGAAGUAGGAAUCGCUAGUAAUCGCAGGUCAGCAUACUGCGGUGAAUACGUUCCCGGGCCUUGUACACAC